GAGGGUGUGGCUCAGUGGUAGAGUACAUGCUUGGCAUGCAAGAGGUCCUGGGUUCAAUCCCCAGUACCUACA
rnacentral:tRNA from 1 species